rnacentral:rRNA from 1 species
CGCGGGAUUGGGGGGACGGGGUGCAACAGGCCCCAAAACUUUACAAUGCCGGCAACGGCGAUAAGGGAACCUCGAGUGCCAGGUUACAAAUCUGGCUGUCGUGAUGCCUAAAAAGCAUUGCAUAGCAAGGGCCGGGCAAGACCGGUGCCAGCCGCCGCGGUAACACCGGCGGCUCGAGUGGUAACCGUUAUUAUUGGGUCUAAAGGGUCUGUAGCCGGCCGGAUAAGUCUCUUGGGAAAUCCAGCAGCUCAACUGUUGGGCUUUCAGGAGAUACUGUUCGGCUCGAGGCCGGGAGAGGUGAGAGGUACUUCAGGGGUAGGGGUGAAAUCUUGUAAUCCUUGAAGGACCACCAGUGGCGAAGGCGUCUCACCAGAACGGACCUGACGGCAAGGGACGAAAGCUAGGGGCACGAACCGGAUUAGAUACCCGGGUAGUCCUAGCCGUAAACGAUACUCGCUAGGUGUCGGCCACGGUGCGACCGUUGUCGGUGCCGUAAGGAAGCCGUGAAGCGAGCCACCUGGGAAGUACGGCCGCAAGGCUGAAACUUAAAGGAAUUGGCGGGGGAGCACCACAACGGGUGGAAGCUUGCGGUUUAAUUGGAUUCAACGCCGGAAAUCUUACCGGGACCGACAGCAAUAUGAAGGCCAGGCUGAAGACUUUGCCAGAUUAGCUGAGAGGUGGUGCAUGGCCGUCGUCAGUUCGUACUGUGAAGCAUCCUGUUAAGUCAGGCAACGAGCGAGACCCACGCCCACAGUUGCCAGCGUACUCUCCGGAGUGACGGGUACACUGUGGGGACCGCCGCUGCUAAAGCGGAGGAAGGAAUGGGCAACGGUAGGUCAGUAUGCCCCGAAUAUCCCGGGCUACACGCGAGCUACAAGGGUUGGUACAAUGGGUAUCUACCCCGAAAGGGGAUGGAAAUCUCCUAAAGCCAAUCUUAGUUCGGAUUGAGGGCUGCAACUCGCCCUCAUGAAGCUGGAAUCCGUAGUAAUCGCGUUUCAACAGAACGCGGUGAAUACGUCCCUGCUCCUUGCAGGAAAUCGCCGAAUCACUAGU